rnacentral:rRNA from 1 species
GACGAACGCUGGCGGCGUGCUUAACACAUGCAAGUCGAACGAUGAAGCCCAGCUUGCUGGGUGGAUUAGUGGCGAACGGGUGAGUAACACGUGAGUAACCUGCCCUGGACUCUGGGAUAAGCGCUGGAAACGGCGUCUAAUACCGGAUAGGACUCUUCCUCGCAUGAGGGGGAGUGGAAAGUUUUUCGGUCUGGGAUGGACUCGCGGCCUAUCAGCUUGUUGGUGAGGUAAUGGCUCACCAAGGCGUCGACGGGUAGCCGGCCUGAGAGGGUGACCGGCCACACUGGGACUGAGACACGGCCCAGACUCCUACGGGAGGCAGCAGUGGGGAAUAUUGCACAAUGGGCGAAAGCCUGAUGCAGCAACGCCGCGUGAGGGAUGACGGCCUUCGGGUUGUAAACCUCUUUUAGCAGGGAAGAAGCGAAAGUGACGGUACCUGCAGAAAAAGCGCCAGCUAACUACGUGCCAGCAGCCGCAGUAACAC